UCCUACGGGGGGCAGCAGUGGGGGAUAUUGCACAAUGGGGGGAACCCUGAUGCAGCGACGCCGCGUGGGUGAAGAAGCGCCUCGGCGCGUAAAGCCCUGUCAGCAGGGAAGAAAAUGACGGUACCUGAAGAAGAAGCCCCGGCUAACUACGUGCCAGCAGCCGCGGUAAUACGUAGGGAGCGAGCGUUGUCCGGAAUUACUGGGUGUAAAGGGAGCGUAGGCGGGACUGCAAGUUGGGUGUCAAAUCUACCGGCUCAACCGGUAGCCGCACUCAAAACUGCAGUUCUUGAGUGAAGUAGAGGCAG
rnacentral:rRNA from 1 species